GACGAACGCUGGCGGCGUGCUUAACACAUGCAAGUCGAACGGAAAGGCCCUGCUUGCAGGGUACUCGAGUGGCGAACGGGUGAGUAACACGUGGGUGAUCUGCCCUGCACUUCGGGAUAAGCCUGGGAAACUGGGUCUAAUACCGGAUAGGAGCCAUUUUUAGUGUGAUGGUUGGAAAGUUUUUUCGGUGUAGGAUGAGCUCGCGGCCUAUCAGCUUGUUGGUGGGGUAAUGGCCUACCAAGGCGGCGACGGGUAGCCGGCCUGAGAGGGUGGACGGCCACAUUGGGACUGAGAUACGGCCCAGACUCCUACGGGAGGCAGCAGGGGGGAAUAUUGCACAAUGGGCGCAAGCCUGAUGCAGCGUCGCCGCGUGGGGGAUGACGGCCUUCGGGUUGUAAACUCCUUUCGCUAGGGACGAAGCUUUUUGUGACGGUACCUAGAUAAGAAGCACCGGCUAACUACGUG
rnacentral:rRNA from 1 species